GUUGGCAACACUUUUAUACACAUUCUGUCAAAUUUUGACGCAUAUCGUACGAUUAGUUUUUGUUUGGCGUCUAUACAAAGAAGUUGAAAAAUUUUCGUGUGACGAUUUUUAUAAUGGAUGAAAAUUUAGAACAACGUGCGUGCAUCAAAUUUUGUGUUGCAAAUGGAUUUAGGUGUUCCGAAACGUUGAAAAUGUUAGAAAAGGCCUUUUGUGAAUCGUGUCUAGGAAAAACACAGGCAUACGAGUGGUAUAAACGCUUCGAAGGUGAUCGUACAAGCUUGGAUCAUGUAUACAUAUACAUGUAUACAUGUGUAUAGCUUACGAAAGUCUAUUCGCGACUACGAAGUUAAGUUUGACAGCUUAUGUGUGUGAAGUGGAAGUAAACAAGCAAAAGAAAAAAGUGAUAAAUUUUCAAACGUACCGUUUUCUUCGAUUUUAGUUUUACUGUUUGAAUUGGAGCCUUCAAAAGGUUUUACGUGCACUGUGUUGAUGAAUUUGUCGGAAGUUUUUAGCUACGCUGCCGGAGGAAUCCGUUCGGAUAUGGAUGGAUUUGGCUUAUUUUCGACUUGUCUACAGUCAUCCUCUAAGUGUCGAGCCGCAUACAAUAAAAGUUUACACUAGCAGUUAACGCUCUGCUUGGUUAUUUGCAUGUAUUUGCAAAACUAGUGAAGGAAAAUGCAAACAUGUGAUAGCUGUUUGGAUCAUUGAUGGAGAAACUCGACUCAAUAGAACGGUUAACAUCCAACGAGAUUAAAACGAGCGGCGGUCGGAUAUUCCGAACCGAUAACAUCAUGUUUGAAGGACAUUUGGCAUUUGUUCAUUAACUACAUUUUAU